CUUUUAGUCUGAAUAAGCGAGAGACCAUGGCAAAAAGAACAAAGAAGGUGGGAAUUUGCGGGAAAUAUGGAACCCGAUAUGGUGCCUCUCUCCGUAAAACCAUCAAAAGAAUGGAAGUCUCUCAGCAUUCUAAAUACACAUGUCAAUUCUGUGGAAAGGUUUGUUGUUGAUAUUUGAAACUGAAUUACAAGACUUGUGUAUUAGCUGUAAAAACUUUAUUUGUAUGUCCUGAGAAUGAUGUUAAAAAAUGAUUUAUAUGUCCUGAGAAUAAUGUUAAAAAUUGAUUUGUAUGUCUAAGAAAAUUGUAAACUUGAUUUGAAUGUACUGUAUUCCCAGUAAUUUUCUCGAUGAUGAAAUUUCUGCUUUUUUCGCAAUCACUUUUAAAAUUUAUUGAAUUUGCAGAAAGUAUAUCCCGUAUAACUGUCUAUAUGAAACUUUUUAAUCACUAAACAUGGCUGACACAAAUUUAAAAUGUUCCUUAUUUUCCCAAUUUUCGCAAAUUUUGUGUAAGAAACUGACUAUACGGUAUUACAAUUGCUGAUUAUAUCUGUUGCCUGUAGGAUGCCAUGAAGAGGAAAGCUGUGGGGAUCUGGAGCUGUAGUCGAUGCAGGAAGACCGUGGCCGGAGGUGCAUGGGUCUACAGGUACGCUGCACACUGUUUCACAUGUGUAAUUUACACACACUUGCACACAUUUUGCAAUAUAUAUGCACUUGCGUAUUGUGCACUCAGAGCUUUCAAUAAGAGUAGGAGGGAGGCAGAUUUUUCAUCUUUUUAAUUUAACAAUCAGAAUAUCAAUAUUAGGGAAAAUAAACUAUUAUAAAUAAUUGGGAAAUAGCUCCUUCAAAUGGGAAAUUAAACUCUUCAAUUCAAAAUUAUUGCAGAUCUCAGACCCUCCCCCCCCUUUCCCCACACACACACGCAUAUUUGUGAUUCUCCAGAUUUCUUGGUAGCUAUUAAUUAUUAAUGCACUAUAAUGUUGAAUGUGAUUUUUUAGCUUGACCUUUUUGCUGUAGGACUAACUGCUAAAUGCAUACAUGUUGCUGAUAAUCAUUUACAAUUAGUGCUGGUUUUAAAACAGUACAUUCACCCUUGCGAAUGUUAUUGUCAUUCAAAUUUAGACCACAUGGUUUUAUUUGACCCUCUCAGUUUUGCAUUAAAAAUCGCGCCUCGUGUUUAUAGUCAAUAUCCAAAAAUUUAGGUACUUGUAGUCAAAUAUAAAAUCUAGACAUUCAUUUUAAACUUUACCACCAUUAAUUGGUGGAUACAAUGAGUUCUAGAUGUAAAUGUGACAAUGGAAAAUGUAGUUUUUUUCUGCUCUUGAAGCAAAUAACAUGGUUAGUAGAGAUCUCCCCUAAGGUUUAAUUUUCAAUCCGCGCCUGACCUAGUAAUAGCAUCAAUAGUGAAACAGAUUAUACUAUUUUAUGCAGAAUGUUCCUUGAAAUUGGCUCGAUAUACUAAGUUUUAAUUCAAAACAGACACUCAUUCAUUUUUGAAAAAGCAUGGUAAUGCACACCAAAUCAUCAGACAUGGCUAUGAUUUAUAUUUUCAACCACAUGUACAGUGGUUGAACUCGAACAAUAACUCUGUUCUGAAUAUCAUCGUUUAGUUUAGAUGAUGAAAUAAGACAUAUCCUCAUAUAUUUUCAUGUUUUUAAAUUAAAGUAGAAUAUGAUAUGAAAAACUAACAGUACUUAUGUAUUUUGAGAAUAUUAUCCGAACACUUAUACUUCCGCUCGAAAUUCCACAGGAACUGAACAAAUCUCGAUGAAGUCUCGUGAACUUUCAUUCAAGCACCUCUGGAUUUAUUACAUACUUAGCAACAAUAAAGUAAACAUUCCGAACACAUUCCCAGGGGUGACAAUGGUAAAGCUACUAUCGAAAUACAAUUUUCACAAAGUUCAAAUCCCAACAGGUGAAUAUUGAUUUCAAGGGUAGUUAGAUCAGUCCGUUUAUUACCAGUAACAAGUGUAUGAUUAUGGGAUCAUUAAAUAAGCGGGUACAGAUUUACAUUUCAUCAUGAGCUUCACCAAAGGAAGUAGACCGUCAUCUUCAACAAGCAUGUUUAUUUCUGCUUAAGUCACUUAAAAACAAGGGACAACAUUGAUGCAGAUUGCUUUUAAAUUGUAACUGUCUAAAAAUACUUUGCCCAGUCUGUGUAGCAUAUGUACUAAGUAUUUCAGGAAGGAGGUGUUUUACUUGGGUGUUAGGCCUACAUGUAUUUUGAGUAAUUUUACCUUGUGAAUUUAUUAAGUUUGAGAUUUCUAAGGAGGGUCUUGACCCCCAGGUCAUGCAUGACAAUUCAACUCAGUGCAUUAUUUUUUUUUAAAACAUACAUGAGCAAGGUUUUUUGAAAAUUUAAAUUUAUUGAUAGGAAAUGUUUAAACACAACAAUUGAUUUCUUACACAUAGAAAAUAAAGUAUCAUUAAGGCAUAUGUACAAUUAUUUAUGCUUUAGUUAGAUUUUCAUCGUAAUAAUUUUGUCCUCUUUUUAUUUCAGCACAACUGCCGCUGCUACCGUCAGAAGUGCAGUCCGUCGUCUUCGUGAAAUGAAGGAAUCUUAAAUAAAUUUAUAUCCCCAC
rnacentral:misc_RNA from 1 species